GACGAACGCUGGCGGCGUGCUUAACACAUGCAAGUCGAACGGAAAGGCCCUGCUUGCAGGGUACUCGAGUGGCGAACGGGUGAGUAACACGUGGGUGAUCUGCCCUGCACUUCGGGAUAAGCCUGGGAAACUGGGUCUAAUACCGGAUAGGAGCCAUUUUUAGUGUGAUGGUUGGAAAGUUUUUUCGGUGUAGGAUGAGCACGCGGCCUAUCAGCUUGUUGGUGGGGUAAUGGCCUACCAAGGCGGCGACGGGUAGCCGGCCUGAGAGGGUGGACGGCCACAGUGGGACUGAGAUACGGCCCAGACUCCUACGGGAGGCAGCAGUGGGGAAUAUUGCACAAUGGGCGCAAGCCUGAUGCAGCGACGCCGCGUGGGGGAUGACGGCCUUCGGGUUGUAAACUCCUUUCGCUAGGGACGAAGCUUUUUGUGACGGUACCUAGAUAAGAAGCACCGGCUAACUACGUG
rnacentral:rRNA from 1 species